GACGAACCGUGCAAACGUUGUUCGGAAUCACUGGGCUUAAAGGGCGCGUAGGCGGCUUGCCAAGUCAGGGGUGAAAUCUUUCGGCUUAACCGGAAAAGUGCCUCUGAUACUGGCAGGCUAGAGGGAGGUAGGGGCAUGUGGAACUUCCGGUGGAGCGGUGAAAUGCGUUGAUAUCGGAAGGAACGCCGGUGGCGAAAGCGACGUGCUGGACCUCUUCUGACGCUGAGGCGCGAAAGCUAGGGGAGCGAACGGG
rnacentral:rRNA from 1 species